ACUGGGAUUGCUGGGUCAAAUGGUGGUUUCAGUCCAAGUUUUCUUAGGAAUCUCAAUAUUCCUUUGCAGAACGUUUGCACUAAUAUGCAGUCCCACCAGCAAU
rnacentral:pre_miRNA from 1 species